GGCAGCAGUCCCAGGAACCAAUUCCUGACCUUCCUCUGGCUGUUGCCUACACCAAGCUCAUAUGGAAAUUUACCAACCAUUUACACUGCAUUCGUCCAGCAGACCCAAAGACAAGGCAAGCAGACUCUUUUACAAAGAGAGAAAUGAGCUCCUCCAUGAGGUGUGGCCUGUCAAAGGCCACAGGACUGGCAUUGGAGAAACAAAACAAGAAGCCACAGAGUCUGAUUCCUGAGGAUUAUUAUUUUGAUUAAAGACUCCUUCAGUUUAGUCAGCUACAGAAGAUUUGGAGGUAUGUAAAAAUCAGGCAGAAAUAUUUCCAAAACUUUCCAUAUCUGACUAACCAAAGUAAAAUCAGGAAUUAAUCUAACAGCUUUUGCACCAUGGGCGGAAUACUUCUUAGAUAUUUA
rnacentral:lncRNA from 1 species